UUUGAAAUUAUUAAUUAACUUAUAUGUCGAUUUUAGAAAUUAAAGAAAUAUGUCUUAACAAAGUUAUAUAAAUGGGAAAAGUUCAAGUAACGAUUAAAAAUCAAUUAUAUUAUUUAUAGUUUAAAGUAAUGAAAAUGAAAUUUUUCAAAAAAAAAUAAGUAAAAUUUUUUUUGUACCUUUUGUAUCAGGGUUGAUUAAUAUAUUCUAUUAACUAAUAGAAGUCUCGAAAAUAAGUGAUCUAAAUAUAUAUAAUUGUUCCUGUGGAAGAAAGAAUAUAAAUAUAUAUUUAGAAAUUAGAUGUUUUUCGAACUUAUUUAUAUCUAGUUUUUUUCUAAUUAAAUUGAAUUUAGGCAUAUAAAUUAAUUUAGGUAAAAAUAAAAAUUACCUAAAUUUUUAUUUGCAAAAAACUUUCGGGACAAGCUGAAAGUUUAGAAUAUUCAGUUUAUUAACUCUAGUUGAUUGUAAAUUUAUGGUUUUAACAUUAAACAUUAAUUGAUAAAAUCUCAUAGUUUAUUGACUUAAUUUAAAAAUUUUGAAAGAGACUCAUAAUUCUGAAAUUUUCAAUGAAUAUUAUUUAGAAAAAAUAACCCUAAAUUAUAUAGGAUUAAUUAUAAUGAUUAAAUUAGUAGUGUAAAUACAAAAUUAAUGUAUAAUAUCAGUCCAAUAUACUAUAUAUAUAUAAGGAACUAGGCAAAACAAGUAUAUUCACCUGUUUAACAAAAACAUGUCUUAUUGAUAAUAAUUUUAAGUCGACCUGCCCAAUGAGUACUUGAAUGGCUGCAGUAUAACUGACUGUACAAAGGUAGCAUAAUCAAUUGGUUUUUAAAUGAAAUCUGGAAUGAAAGGAUUAAUGAAAUAUACACUGUCUCAUAUAUAUUUCAUGAACUUAAAAUUUUAAUUAAAAUGUUAAAAUUUUUUUAUGGGACGAUAAGACCCUAUAGAAUUUUAUAUAGUUACAUCUUAAUAGUUAAUAUAAAAAAUGUAGCAAUAUUUGGUUGGGAGGACUAUUAAAUUUUAUAAACUUUAAUUUCUGAUAACUUUAAUUAAAGAAAAAUUUUUCAAUGACCCUCAAUUUGGGAUAGCUAGAGUAAAUUACCUUAGGGAUAACAGCGUAAUAUUUUUUAUAGAUCGUAUAGAAAAAAGUGAUUGCGACCUCGAUGUUGAAUUAAGAUAAAUUUUGAACGCAGGAGUUUAAUAAUUAAGUCUGUUCGACUUUUAAAAUCUUACAUGAUUUGAGUUCCAAAUCGACGUAAGUCAGAUUGGUUUCUAUCUAUAAAUAUCUUUAAGUUGUUUGUACGAAAGGACUAUAACUUACAAAAUCUUUGUUUAGAACUUUAAUAAAUACCUUACU
rnacentral:rRNA from 1 species